AUUGAACGCUGGCGGCAGGCUUAACACAUGCAAGUCGAACGAUGAAGAUAUAGCUUGCUAUAUCGGAUUAGUGGCGGACGGGUGAGUAACACUUAGGAAUCUACCUUUUAGCGGGGGAUAGCUCGGGGAAACUCGAAUUAAUACCGCAUAAUUUCUACGGAAUAAAGAGGGCUUUUAGCUCUCACUAGAAGAUGAGCCUAAGUAAGAUUAGCUAGUUGGUGGGGUAAAAGCCUACCAAGGCGACGAUCUUUAGCUGGUCUGAGAGGAUGAUCAGCCACACUGGGACUGAGACACGGCCCAGACUCCUACGGGAGGCAGCAGUGGGGAAUAUUGGACAAUGGGGGCAACCCUGAUCCAGCCAUGCCGCGUGUGUGAAGAAGGCCUUUUGGUUGUAAAGCACUUUAAGCAGUGAAGAAGACCUAUUGAUUAAUACCCAAUAGCGAUGACAUUAACUGCAGAAUAAGCACCGGCUAACUCUGUGCCAGCAGCCGCGGUAAUACAGAGGGUGCAAGCGUUAAUCGGAAUUACUGGGCGUAAAGCGAGCGUAGGUGGUUAAAUAAGUCAGAUGUGAAAGCCCUGGGCUCAACCUAGGAACGGCAUCUGAAACUAUUUAACUAGAGUAGGUGAGAGGGAAGUAGAAUUUCAGGUGUAGCGGUGAAAUGCGUAGAGAUCUGAAGGAAUACCGAUGGCGAAGGCAGCUUCCUGGCAUCAUACUGACACUGAGGCUCGAAAGCGUGGGUAGCAAACAGGAUUAGAUACCCUGGUAGUCCACGCCGUAAACGAUGUCUACUAGCCGUUGGGGGACUUGAUUCCUUAGUGGCGCAGCUAACGCAAUAAGUAGACCGCCCUGGGGAGUACGGCCGCAAGGUUAAAACUCAAAUGAAUUGACGGGGGCCCGCACAAGCGGUGGAGCAUGUGGUUUAAUUCGAUGCAACGCGAAGAACCUUACCUGGUCUUGACAUACACAGAAUCUUGUAGAGAUACGAGAGUGCCUUCGGGAAUUGUGAUACAGGUGCUGCAUGGCUGUCGUCAGCUCGUGUCGUGAGAUGUUGGGUUAAGUCCCGCAACGAGCGCAACCCUUAUCCUUAGUUGCCAGCACGUAAUGGUGGGGACUGUAAGGAGACUGCCAGUGACAAAUUGGAGGAAGGCGGGGACGACGUCAAGUCAUCAUGGCCCUUACGACCAGGGCUACCGCGUGCUACAAUGGUAAGUACGAGGGAGGCAACACAGCGAUGUGAAGCCAAUCUCAAAACGCUUAUCU
rnacentral:rRNA from 1 species